ACGGUAAGGAUUGACGGACUGAAGGCUCUUUCUCGAUUCCGUGGAAAGUGGUGCAUGGCCGUUUUUGGUUGGUGGAUCGAUCCGUCUGGUUAAUUCCGUUAACGAACGAGACCUCGGCACUCCGAAUAGCGCGGCGGACGUCGCGGCCUCCGGGCCGUCUUCCGCACGAGCUUCUUAGAGGGACCGUCCCCCGCCGGGGAAGGAGGUGCGAGGCAACGACAGGUCUGUGAUGCCCUUAGAUGUUCUGGGCCGCACGCGCAUUACACUGACGCGUCCAACGGGUGACUCCCGACCCGAAGGGGCCGGGGAAUCCGCAAGGCGCGUCGUGAUGGGGAUUGAACGUUGCAAUUGUUGUUCACGAACGAGGAAUUCCUAGUAGGCGCGGGUCAUCAACCCGCGCCGAUUACGUCCCUGCCCUUUGUACACACC
rnacentral:rRNA from 1 species